GACGAACGCUGGCGGCGUGCUUAACACAUGCAAGUCGAACGGAAAGGCCCUGCUUUUGUGGGGUGCUCGAGUGGCGAACGGGUAAGUAACACGUGAGUAACCUGCCCUUGACUUUGGGAUAACUUCAGGAAACUGGGGCUAAUACCGGAUAGGAGCUCCUGCUGCAUGGUGGGGGUAGGAAAGUUUCGGCGGUUGGGGAUGGACUCGCGGCUUAUCAGCUUGUUGGUGGGGUAGUGGCUUACCAAGGCUUUGACGGGUAGCCGGCCUGAGAGGGUGACCGGCCACAUUGGGACUGAGAUACGGCCCAGACUCCUACGGGAGGCAGCAGUGGGGAAUAUUGCACAAUGGGCGGAAGCCCGAUGCAGCAACGCCGCGUGCGGGAUGACGGCCUUCGGGUUGUAAACCGCUUUCGCCUGUGACGAAGCGUGAGUGACGGUAAUGGGUAAAGAAGCACCGGCUAACUACGUG
rnacentral:rRNA from 1 species